GAUGAACGCUGGCGGCGUGCCUAAUACAUGCAAGUCGAGCGAAUGGAUUAAGAGCUUGCUCUUAUGAAGUUAGCGGCGGACGGGUGAGUAACACGUGGGUAACCUGCCCAUAAGACUGGGAUAACUCCGGGAAACCGGGGCUAAUACCGGAUAAUAUUUUGAACUGCAUGGUUCGAAAUUGAAAGGCGGCUUCGGCUGUCACUUAUGGAUGGACCCGCGUCGCAUUAGCUAGUUGGUGAGGUAACGGCUCACCAAGGCAACGAUGCGUAGCCGACCUGAGAGGGUGAUCGGCCACGCUGGGACUGAGACACGGCCCAGACUCCUACGGGAGGCAGCAGUAGGGAAUCUUCCGCAAUGGACGAAAGUCUGACGGAGCAACGCCGCGUGAGUGAUGAAGGCUUUCGGGUCGUAAAACUCUGUUGUUAGGGAAGAACAAGUGCUAGUUGAAUAAGCUGACACCUUGACGGUACCUAACCAGAAAGCCACGGCUAACUACGUGCCAGCCGCCGCCGUAA
rnacentral:rRNA from 1 species